rnacentral:rRNA from 1 species
UGGGGAAUCUUCCGCAAUGGGCGAAAGCCUGACGGAGCAACGCCGCGUGAGUGAAGACGGCCUUCGGGUUGUAAAGCUCUGUUAUAUGGGACGAACGGGUGUAUGGUCAAUACCCAUACGCCGUGACGGUACCGUAAGAGAAAGCCACGGCUAACUACGUGCCAGCAGACGCGGUAAUACGUAGGUGGCAAGCGUUGUCCGGAAUCAUUGGGCGUAAAGGGCGCGCAGGCGGUUCGGUAAGUCGGUCUUAAAAGUGCGGGGCUUAACCCCGUGAUGGGAUUGAAACUGCCGGACUGGAGUGUCGGAGAGGAAAGCAGAAUUCCUAGUGUAGCGGUGAAAUGCGUAGAUAUUAGGAGGAAUACCAGUGGCGAAAGCGGCUUUCUGGACGACAACUGACGCUGAGGCGCGAAAGCCAGGGGAGCAAACGGGAUUAGAUACC